AUACAGAGGGUGCAAGCGUUAAUCGGAAUUACUGGGCGUAAAGCGCGCGUAGGUGGUUUGUUAAGUUGGAUGUGAAAUCCCCGGGCUCAACCUGGGAACUGCAUUCAAAACUGACUGACUAGAGUAUGGUAGAGGGUGGUGGAAUUUCCUGUGUAGCGGUGAAAUGCGUAGAUAUAGGAAGGAACACCAGUGGCGAAGGCGACCACCUGGACUAAUACUGACACUGAGGUGCGAAAGCGUGGGGAGCAGACAGGAUUAGAUACCCUGGUAGUCCACGCCGUAAACGAUGUCAACUAGCCGUUGGAAGCCUUGAGCUUUUAGUGGCGCAGCUAACGCAUUAAGUUGACCGCCUGGGGAGUACGGCCGCAAGGUUAAA
rnacentral:rRNA from 1 species